AGCGCUUUCCUUUGCCUGGAUUCCUCCCGCUGUCCGAAUGAGCCUCGCGCACAUGGACGGCAGCGUGCGACUGCUGAAGGGUUGUCAGCACUCUGUGCCUGGCACCAUGUUCCUACAGCGUCGCACCCAUCCCAGACACUUAACGUGGUAUGACGGAUCUUAAUGAGGUUACUUCUGAGCAUGUAGCUCAGGAGGCAGCAUGGUCUAGUGAACUGACUGCAAGAGAUGACGGAAGAAACUCCUGAAAUCCAUCAGGACCUCUGUAUUUUGAACCAUUCCUUUGAACUCUUCUGCUCUAGUUCCUUGCUAUUUAAGCAGAAGUACCAUAUAGCCAAUGACAUGAUGGUAGAUUGUAAAUCAAUACAUAAAGUCUAGCAAAUAAUACAAAAUAAUGUAAUUUUUCUGUAGAUGGAACAGAGUGAAGAGUUUUAUACUUCCCUACUUGUACAAUGGAAAUAAUGGGAGAUAAUUUUUUCAAAGGGGUUGCUGUGAGGACUAAUGGCUGACCUGUGCUUUAAGAUGAAUUUUCUGAAAUUCUCCUUUAUUUUCUACCAGCUCUUACAGACUAUGUUGUUGAUGUCCUUUGCAAUGUCCCUCACCUCUCCCUGUUACCAAAGCACGAGGUCUCUAACCUUCCUUUGCAGCUUGCUUCAUAGUACAGCUCUAGCUGAUGUUCUGACCAAAUGCCAGAUGAAGUAGCAUAGAUGAGUAUUCCCAGAAGCGUGAACGAAUAAUCAUUUUGGAAAUCUGGUGGUUGAACUGGGAGCUAAACUAAAGUGAACUUUGAAAAUCCUUUUCCACGUCCCUGUCAAGUUGGAGCGCUUCCCAGGGCACUCUCAUGACCUGUUCUGCAGCCUGUUGGGAUCACUGCCGUUGACGUCAGUCAUGCUUUCUAUUGUGCAGUUUGCAAAGGUCUUCAUAUUAUACUUUCAGCUGUUGUUAAGUAGCUGCUAUUAGGGUUCAUACAUGACUGAAUUUGGGUGUUGGAGUAAGCCUUAUAGGUUGUUGCUUACCUAAGGGCUUGUUUGUAAAGAGCUGUAAAUUCGCUGGAUGAAAGACAUUUUUCUAAAGCCAAGUAUAACCAUGACCUACUUGUGCAUGUUAUCUCAAACUGCUUAAAAACUGUCAAAACUACUUGUUAUCAUGAAGGUCUAAGUUAAUGGAAAAUGGCUAUUUUUAACUUUAGUAAUCUGCAGUUACACUGAAGCAAGCCGGCACAAAUGGUAGUUUUUCAUAUGGACAAAUAAGAUCUUAGCUUUUUUUUUUUUUUUUCUAAAUAUUGAAAGAAUUAGCACGAGGUAUAUUUAGUCUAGCGGGCAACUUCAGGCAAAAUGAAGGCACAUAAAAUAGGUUUAUCAAUAGUGGUGUCUUUUCUGCCUUUUUUGUGCCAUAACAAUAAUCACUAAGUUUUGACAGAAGCCAGAGUUAAAGAAAUAUUAUUGCUGUCUAAUAUUAACAGGUUGUUCUGUGCCUCUCUGAUACUGUAAGUGUGGGAGUUGUAGAGCAAGUACUUCCAUUUUUUAGCCUACUCAACAGUCAGCGUAGUAGGGUUGUUUGGAAUUUAUUUCAUACUACAAUCUUUGUCUUUUCAGAAUUGAUUUUGCAACAAAUGUAGAUCAAACAGACAGAUCCAUCACCGACACUGGUGUUAGGGAGGUUUUUUCCUUGUUUUACAGGUGAGGCAACUGAGGUGAUGUUUUUCUUUGCACUGAGUCUCAGAUCCAGGGUCAGGAGGUGAAUUCCUGUCUUCAGGUCCUGUUCUCAGACUACUAGUUUGUACUUACACCGGUUGGCAAUAGAUUUCGAUGGGAAGAGGACAAACUUCACCUCGUUAUGUUUUGCUCUGGUAAC